UUUAUACAUGGGACGCCUACCACAGCAUGGCUUGCCAAGCGGUGCCAUGUCCACACCCGGGAGCCAAACCAGCGAACCCCGGGCCGCCGAGAAGCGGAACGUGCGAAUUUAACCACUGCACCACUGGGCCAGCCCCUAAAAAACUUUAUGCACAAAGAUAUACAUCUCAGAAUUUUCUACAACAGUUUAAAAAAAAGAUUUCUACAGCAAGAUUUUAUUACUUUGAUAAUCAGAAGAUAACUUUACCACCACCCCCCCAAUAAUGUGUUAUUUACAGAUAUAUUUGUCUUUGUGGAUACACAGCACUGAAAAUAUCAAUGUGGAGGAAAAAGUACCAGAGGCUGUGUGAGAAAUGUGUUUUAUUUUUCUCAAUUGUCACCUUGUCUCAUACUAAAGUCUGAAUAGUUCCUUC
rnacentral:lncRNA from 1 species